rnacentral:rRNA from 1 species
GAGCGGUAGCACAGAGAGCUUGCUCUCGGGUGACGAGCGGCGGACGGGUGAGUAAUGUCUGGGAAACUGCCUGAUGGAGGGGGAUAACUACUGGAAACGGUAGCUAAUACCGCAUAACGUCGCAAGACCAAAGUGGGGGACCUUCGGGCCUCAUGCCAUCAGAUGUGCCCAGAUGGGAUUAGCUAGUAGGUGGGGUAACGGCUCACCUAGGCGACGAUCCCUAGCUGGUCUGAGAGGAUGACCAGCCACACUGGAACUGAGACACGGUCCAGACUCCUACGGGAGGCAGCAGUGGGGAAUAUUGCACAAUGGGCGCAAGCCUGAUGCAGCCAUGCCGCGUGUGUGAAGAAGGCCUUCGGGUUGUAAAGCACUUUCAGCGGGGAGGAAGGCGAUAAGGUUAAUAACCUUGUCGAUUGACGUUACCCGCAGAAGAAGCACCGGCUAACUCCGUGCCAGCAGCCGCGGUAAUACGGAGGGUGCAAGCGUUAAUCGGAAUUACUGGGCGUAAAGCGCACGCAGGCGGUCUGUCAAGUCGGAUGUGAAAUCCCCGGGCUCAACCUGGGAACUGCAUUCGAAACUGGCAGGCUAGAGUCUUGUAGAGGGGGGUAGAAUUCCAGGUGUAGCGGUGAAAUGCGUAGAGAUCUGGAGGAAUACCGGUGGCGAAGGCGGCCCCCUGGACAAAGACUGACGCUCAGGUGCGAAAGCGUGGGGAGCAAACAGGAUUAGAUACCCUGGUAGUCCACGCUGUAAACGAUGUCGAUUUGGAGGUUGUGCCCUUGAGGCGUGGCUUCCGGAGCUAACGCGUUAAAUCGACCGCCUGGGGAGUACGGCCGCAAGGUUAAAACUCAAAUGAAUUGACGGGGGCCCGCACAAGCGGUGGAGCAUGUGGUUUAAUUCGAUGCAACGCGAAGAACCUUACCUGGUCUUGACAUCCACAGAACUUAGCAGAGAUGCUUUGGUGCCUUCGGGAACUGUGAGACAGGUGCUGCAUGGCUGUCGUCAGCUCGUGUUGUGAAAUGUUGGGUUAAGUCCCGCAACGAGCGCAACCCUUAUCCUUUGUUGCCAGCGGUUCGGCCGGGAACUCAAAGGAGACUGCCAGUGAUAAACUGGAGGAAGGUGGGGAUGACGUCAAGUCAUCAUGGCCCUUACGACCAGGGCUACACACGUGCUACAAUGGCAUAUACAAAGAGAAGCGACCUCGCGAGAGCAAGCGGACCUCAUAAAGUAUGUCGUAGUCCGGAUUGGAGUCUGCAACUCGACUCCAUGAAGUCGGAAUCGCUAGUAAUCGUAGAUCAGAAUGCUACGGUGAAUACGUUCCCGGGCCUUGUACACACCGCCCGUCACACCAUGGGAGUGGGUUGCAAAAGAAGUAGGUAGCUUAACCUUCGGGAGGGCG